ACUCCUACGGGAGGCAGCAGUGGGGAAUAUUGCACAAUGGGCGCAAGCCUGAUGCAGCAACGCCGCGUGAGGGACGACGGCCUUCGGGUUGUAAACCUCUUUUAGUAGGGAAGAAGCGAAAGUGACGGUACCUGCAGAAAAAGCACCGGCUAACUACGUGCCAGCAGCCGCGGUAAUACGUAGGGUGCAAGCGUUAUCCGGAAUUAUUGGGCGUAAAGAGCUCGUAGGCGGUCUGUCGCGUCUGCUGUGAAAACUGGGGGCUCAACCCCCAGCCUGCAGUGGGUACGGGCAGACUAGAGUGCGGUAGGGGAGAUUGGAACUCCUGGUGUAGCGGUGGAAUGCGCAGAUAUCAGGAAGAACACCGAUGGCGAAGGCAGAUCUCUGGGCCGUAACUGACGCUGAGGAGCGAAAGCAUGGGGAGCGAACAGGAUUAGAUACCCUGGUAGUCCAUGCCGUAAACGUUGGGAACUAGAUGUAGGGACCAUUCCACGGUUUCUGUGUCGCAGCUAACGCAUUAAGUUCCCCGCCUGGGGAGUACGGCCGCAAGGCUAAAACUCAAAGGAAUUGACGGGGGCCCGCACAAGCGGCGGAGCAUGCGGAUUAAUUCGAUGCAACGCGAAGAACCUUACCAAGGCUUGACAUAUACCGGAAAAGGCUGGAAACAGUCUCCCCGCAAGGUCGGUAUACAGGUGGUGCAUGGUUGUCGUCAGCUCGUGUCGUGAGAUGUUGGGUUAAGUCCCGCAACGAGCGCAACCCUCGUUCUAUGUUGCCAGCACGUAAUGGUGGGAACUCAUAGGAGACUGCCGGGGUCAACUCGGA
rnacentral:rRNA from 1 species